rnacentral:rRNA from 1 species
GGCUCUCGGGCCCGAGUUGUAAUUUGUAGAGGAUGCUUUUGGUGAGGUGCCUUCCGAGUUCCCUGGAACGGGACGCCAUAGAGGGUGAGAGCCCCGUCUGGUUGGACACCGAUCCUCUGUAAAGCUCCUUCGACGAGUCGAGUAGUUUGGGAAUGCUGCUCUAAAUGGGAGGUAUAUGUCUUCUAAAGCUAAAUACCGGCCAGAGACCGAUAGCGCACAAGUAGAGUGAUCGAAAGAUGAAAAGAACUUUGAAAAGAGAGUUAAACAGUACGUGAAAUUGUUGAAAGGGAAGCGCUUGUGACCAGACUUGGGCUUGGUUGAUCAUCCGGGGUUCUCCCCGGUGCACUCUUCCGGCUCAGGCCAGCAUCAGUUCGCCCUGGGGGAUAAAGGCUUCGGGAAUGUGGCUCUCUCCGGGGAGUGUUAUAGCCCGCUGCGUAAUACCCUGUGGCGGACUGAGGUUCGCGCAUUCGCAAGGAUGCUGGCGUAAUGGUCAUCAGUGACCCGUCUUGAAACACGGACCAAGGAGUCGUCUUCGUAUGCGAGUGUUCGGGUGUCAAACCCCUACGCGAAAUGAAAGUGAACGCAGGUGAGAGCUUCGGCGCAUCAUCGACCGAUCCUGAUGUUAUCGGAUGGAUUUGAGUAAGAGCAUACGGGGCCGGACCCGAAAGAAGGUGAACUAUGCCUGUGUAGGGUGAAGCCAGAGGAAACUCUGGUGGAGGCUCGCAGCGGUUCUGACGUGCAAAUCGAUCGUCAAACAUGGGCAUGGGGGCGAAAGACUAAUCGAACCNUCUAGU